UUAUUUUAGCUUUGAUUUUAUUAAACAUAUAUGAAUGAUUAUUUAAAUUUAGAAUUAAUUAAUUUUAGUUUAUGUAUUCAAUUUUUGUUUAUUGUUUAAUAAGUCCAAAAAGCUCAAUCGUCCUUUUAGGAUCAUAUCGGGCUUUGAAAUAUAGGUCCAACUUUUUGCGGGUCGGACCAAGCUUAGAUAGAAAUGGACUUUGC
rnacentral:lncRNA from 1 species